rnacentral:tRNA from 1 species
GGGGUUGUGGCUCAGUGGUACAGCACUUGCCUAGAAUGUGUGAGGCCCUGGGUUCGAUUCUCAGCACCA